UCUUGCAAACUAAAGAUGGCGACCGGCGCACGGGUGAGUAACACGUAUCCAACCUGCCGAUAACUCGGGGAUAGCCUUUCGAAAGAAAGAUUAAUAUCCGAUAGUAUAUUAAAACCGCAUGGUUUUACUAUUAAAGAAUUUCGGUUAUCGAUGGGGAUGCGUUCCAUUAGUUUGUUGGCGGGGUAACGGCCCACCAAGACUACGAUAGAUAGGGGUUCUGAGAGGAAGGUCCCCCACAUUGGAACUGAGACACGGUCCAA
rnacentral:rRNA from 1 species